CUCCUCCAGCGGUGAGUCAGCGCUACUACAAAACCAAGAACAAGUUGAGGGAUGAAGUGGUGAAGAGGAAGUGAACUGUUGACUGCAGAUGAAACAUCACACGUCCAACGCAGCACUAAGUGUACCACCAUGGGCCCCGCAUCUGGAGGAUUGCAGGCUUUCACCCGUCUCAGGAAGGCCAGGAAUGG